AUUGAACGCUGGCGGCAGGCCUAACACAUGCAAGUCGAGCGAGCGGCGGACGGGUGAGUAAUGUAUGGGGACUGCCCGAUAGAGGGGGAUAACUACUGGAAACGGUGGCUAAUACCGCCUACUGUCGGAUAACCCAUAUGGGAUUAGCUAGUAGGUACGGUAAUGGCUUACCUAGGCGACGAUCCCUAGCUGGUCUGAGAGGAUGAUCAGCCACACGGUGACUGAGACACGUCCCAGACACCGACGGAGGCAGCGGUGGGGAAUAUUGCGCAAGGGGGGCAAGCCGAAUGCAGCCAUGCCGCGGGUAUUAAGAAGGCCCGAGGGUUGUAAAGUACUGUCAGUCGGGAGGCGUUACCGACAGAAGAAGCACCGGCUAACUCCGUGCCAGCCGCCGCGGUAAUUC
rnacentral:rRNA from 1 species